rnacentral:rRNA from 1 species
UACGUAGGGUGCAAGCGUUAAUCGGAAUUACUGGGCGUAAAGCGUGCGCAGGCGGUUCGCUAAGACCGAUGUGAAAUCUCCGGGCUUAACUCGGAGCCUGCAGGCGAAACUGUGGUGCUGGAGUGUGGGAGAGGUGCGUGGAAUUCCCGGUGGAGCGGUGAAAUGCGUUGAGAUCGGAAGGAACGCCCGUGGCGAAAGCGAGCCCCUGGACGGCUACUGACGCUGAGACGCGAAAGCCAGGGGAGCGAACGGG